rnacentral:rRNA from 1 species
CCUACGGGUGGCAGCAGUAGGGAAUCUUUCACAAUGGACGCAAGCCUGAUGGAGCAACGCCGCGUGCAUGAUGAAGGCCUUCGGGUUGUAAACUGCUUUUAUAAGCGAGAAAUAUGUUGGUAACUUAUGAAUAAGGAUCGGCUAACUACGUGCCAGCAGCCGCGGUCAUACGUAGGAUCCGAGCAUUAUCCGGGGUGAAUGGGUGUAAAGAGUUACGUAGGUGGCAUAAUAAGAGGCUAGGCAAAUCUGGUGGCUCAACCAUUCAGAGUAUUUGCUAAACUGUUAAGCUCGAGACCGUUAGAGGUAACUGGAAUUUCAAGUGUAGGAGUGAAAUCCGUAGAUAUUAGAAGGAACACCAGUGGCGUAGGCAGGUUACUGGGACGGUUCUGACGCUAAGGCACGAAAGCGUAGGUAGCAAACGGGAUUAGAUACCCUUGUAGUC